GCGUCAGUUUCCACUCUCAUCGGUUUUUGUAAAUCCACAUGCAGGAGCUGUUGUUCCGAGGCGAAGGCCCUUUUAGUUCCUCAAAUGCUUGCUCCGCCUCCUCCGUCCAAACGAACUUCUUCUUACUGCUGAGACAGUCCGUAAUGGGCGCCGUCAGGUGGGCAAAGUUUGGGAUGAACUUACGAUAGAAGUUCCCAAAUCCUAAAAACCUCUGCACAUCCUUCCUUGUUUUGGGUGUUUUCCAUUCCAGUACCGCCUGGACCUUGCCGGGAUCCAUGGCCAACCCCUUGUCAGACAGGCGAUACCCCAGGAAUUCCACCUCCUUGGUAUGAAACUGACACUUCUCCAGUUUCACCCACAGCUGGUUGGCUUGCAGCCUGCUCAACACUUCUCUGACGUCUCUCACAUGCUGCUCCUCAUUCUCAGAAUACACCAACACGUCGUCUAAGAAGGCCACACAAUUCUUGUAAAGCAACGGCCCCAGGACGUGGUUCAUAAACGAUUGAAAUGUUGCGGAGCCUGCUUGUAGACCGAAGGGCAUAACUAAGUAUUCAAAUGCCCCUAAAGGGGUGAACAUGGUGGUUUUCCAUUCAUCCCCCUUCCUUAUUCGUAUCAGGUUGUACGCCCCCCUUAGAUCCAGCUUGGUGAAAAUCUUUCCCUUCCGCACCCUUGUCAAAAUGUCGUCAAUCCUGGGCAUCGGGAAGGCCACUGGUUCUGACACUGCAUUUAAGGCCCUGAAGUCACACACCAGUCUCGGCUUGUUCGUGUUUUUGUCCACAAAAACACUGGGCUGCCCCCACCGCCCUGGACUCUCUGAUGAACCCUCUCUUCAGGUUCUUGUCAAUGAACUCUCUUAGCUCCUGCAUCUCUCUGUCUGACAUGGCGUACAGCUUGCCCACAGGGAGCUGUGCCCCAGGGAGCAAAUUGAUUUGACAGUCAAAGGCUCUAUGCGGUGGUAGUUGGUCAGCUUCCCUUUCGCUGAAGACGUCGCGGAGAUCUGCGUAUUGUCGUGGUACCUUCACGUUCUCCGUUACUUCAGUCCCUGCUAGGGUGGCUUGGGCCCCUGCCAAAACCUUUCCCUCUUUGCAGUGUUCUAAGCAAUGUGCUGACCCAAAAGAAACCACUCUUUGAUGCCAGCCCACCAGCGGAUCAUGUAACGCUAGCCAGCUCAUCCCCAAUAUAAUGGGAGCUCCUCCCAAGGUGGCCACAUUAAACGCUAUUAGUUCGGUGUGCCUUGCCACCUUCAUUAUCAUUGGGACGGUCUGCAAGCUGACUUCUCCUCCCAACAGCUCCCUGCCAUCGAUCGUGGUUACCUGCAGGGGGUUGCUUAAAGGGAGCGUCUGUAUCUGGUGUUCAGCUGCAAACUCUUUGCUCAUGAAAUUGCAGGAGCUGCCUGAGUCCAACAGCGCCUUUAUCUUUAGAGGGUGUCCGUUUGGCAGCUCUAGUGUCACUUCUAUCACUAGGGCGGGUUUAGGAGGUUCUGGCGUGGGCACUUUCACUGCUCUUUGGCCUGGCUGCUGUGCCCCGACAAUGGCAGCCAGGCGUUGGCUUUUAGUUGCUCCGGUAUUUUUCCUCUCUUCCCUCCACAGCUCCCACCAUCCCUUGCCAUUCCUUCCUCUGGGGGCAGACUCUGGCAAAGUGCCCUGGCUGUUGGCAGAGAUAGCAUUUCCGGGCGCCUUUUCCCUCCUUUUUUCCCCCUUCACUGGGCUUUGAAACUGCGCGCGCGCGCGCUGUUCCGAUUUCCAUCGGCUCUGCCGGCGGGAAAGUUGGCUCUGGAAUGUCUGGAAUGCGGAACUCCUUCCAACGUUCCCCUUUCCCUUCCCGCCUCUCCAAUGCUCUCGCCUCCUGGCGCGCUCCUAUGGCCAGCGCUGAUUUGGUCAGCUGGUCCAUAGACUCCGCCCCUGGGCGCCCGGGAAAGUUCAUCUUUCACAGCCGAAGAAAGCCCUUCUUCAAAGAGCAUUUGAAUGGGUUCCGCCGAUAAGUCCCACCCCAAUCUGUGUAUCAGCAUGGUGAACUCAGUCCAGUACUCACGUACAGAUCGGCUCCCCUGUUUGCAAGCCAUUAACUGUCUGCGCACCACUCCCUUUUCAAUAUCGCUGGAAAACAUCAGAUCCAUGGCGCGAAAGAACUUCAUCGUGUCCUUUAGGACGUCACUAUGCGCUGCCAUCAGGGGUCUAACCCAGUCUCUCGCCCCCUUUUCAAGAUGCCCAAUCACAAAAGCCACUCGUGAUUCCUCAUCAGGGAAAUCAUCAAACUGCAGAUUGAGGGCAUAUUGCAUUUCUGUCCGAAAGCUAUGAUAGUCUUUGGGCUCCCCCCCAAAUUUCUGCACCAAUCCUGGUACCUUUCUGGCGAGCUGGGUGGCUUUCUCCCUUUGUCUGCAUCUUGAGCCCUCCUCUCCUCCAGCCUCGCCGUCUGCAGCGCCAGCUGGACCUCCAACACCCGGUACCUUUCUUCCAGGCUUGGACCCGCUCCAGCCCCUGCUUCUCCGGUUCCUGCUGGGUUGCUCAUUAUGCCUUCUCCUGCACAAGCUGCGUUCAAAGACUGUCGGAAUGCUGUGAUGGGAAGAUGAGCUGCUUGUGCGUAAAAUCGUAUUCCCUCAGAGUUUGUUCAAGUCCACAAACCUCUGUCUGUGACUGAGCCCCUCUGACAUGGCUCCUCUAGUCACUAGAAGAUUCCGACAGUGGUUGCUUUCGUAAUCGCUUCCAACAUAAAAGCUCCUUAACGGAAACACGUCUUCUGGACUCUCUGCGUGACAGUUUCCGGCGAGGAGUGGGUGUCCCUACAGGAGGUCCGGAAACCUCACCACUGUUUUCGCUGGAAGUAUCUCUGAGCCAUCCCCCCAGCUCCCUUUCCCUCAGUUCAGCUUCUCUCCCCCUGCUGGUUUCCUCUUCAGCUGCUGAGUCUCUUCCAACCUGUCUGAGCCCUUUCACCUCCCUCAGUUCAGCUUCUCUCCCCUUGCUGGUUCCCUCUUCAGCUGCUGAGUCUCUUCCAACCUGUCUGAGUCCUUUCACCUCCCUUCCUUCCGAUGGCAGUUCCCUGACA
rnacentral:lncRNA from 1 species